UUCACAAAAUGAAGCAGCUGUCUGGUGGUUGGCUUUGCUAUAAAGCUGCAGGUAGGUGUGGCCAAAGAAAACUGACUGUGGUGCCACCUGAGUCAGAGGGCUACACAGCAAAGUCUUU